GUUAAAAAGCUCGUAGUUGGAUCUCAACAGCCUUGAAGCGGUUAACUUUGUAGUUUUACUGCUUUAUAGGCUGUGCUUUUGCUGGAGGUUUAGGGGUGCUCUUGAUCGAGUGUCUCUGGAUGCCAGCAGGUUUACUUUGAAAAAAUUAGAGUGCUCAAAGCAGGCUAAAAUGCCUGAAUAUUCGUGCAUGGAAUAAUAGAAUAGGAUGUCGAUCCUAUUUUGUUGGUUUUCGGGACCCGACAUAAUGAUAAAUAGGGACAGUCGGGGGCAUUUGUAUUCAAACGACAGAGGUGAAAUUCUUGGACCGUUUGAAGACAAACUACUGCGAAAGCAUUUGCCAAGAAUGUUUUCAUUAAUCAAGAACGAAAGUUAGAGGUUCGAAGGCGAUUAGAUACCGCCCUAGUUCUAACCAUAAACGAUGCCAGCUAGCGAUCUGCCUGCGUUUUUACUGUAGACUGGGCAGGAAGCUUCCCGGGAAACCAAAGCAUUUGGGUU
rnacentral:rRNA from 1 species